rnacentral:rRNA from 1 species
GAGUUUGAUCUUGGCUCAGAUUGAACGCUGGCGGCAUGCCUUACACAUGCAAGUCGAACGGCAGCACGGGAGCUUGCUCCUGGUGGCGAGUGGCGAACGGGUGAGUAAUGCAUCGGAACGUAUCCUGGAGUGGGGGAUAACGUAGCGAAAGUUACGCUAAUACCGCAUAUUCUGUGAGCAGGAAAGCGGGGGACCUUCGGGCCUCGCGCUCUUGGAGCGGCCGAUGUCGGAUUAGCUAGUUGGUGGGUAAAGGCUCACCAAGGCGACGAUCCGUAGCAGGUCUGAGAGGAUGAUCUGCCACACUGGAACUGAGACACGGUCCAGACUCCUACGGGAGGCAGCAGUGGGGAAUUUUGGACAAUGGGGGCAACCCUGAUCCAGCCAUGCCGCGUGAGUGAAGAAGGCCUCGGUUGUAAGUACGUACUUUCGU